UACGGAGGGUGCAAGCGUUUAUCCGGAUUCACUGGGUUUAAAGGGUGCGUAGGAGGGCAGGGAAGUCAGUGGUGAAAUCUCCGGGCUUAACUCGGAAACUGCCGUUGAUACUCUCUGUCUUCGAAUCCCGUGGAGGUGAGCGGAAUAUGUCAUGUAGCGGUGAAAUGCUUAGAUAUGACAUAGAACACCAAUUGCGAAGGCAGCUCGCUACACGAAGAUUGACUCUGAGGCACGAAAGCGUGGGGAUCAAACAGGA
rnacentral:rRNA from 1 species